GUCUGCUACCCAAUUCUGGGUCGGAAAGUUAGGUGAGCUGUGAUUACCGUCCAACCCCUUUCGUCCCCAAAGCCCCUCCGAUUAAAGUUUUGCGCAUUGGAGACCACCCAGACGUAGCGUUGGGCGGGAGGACAGUCGGGGACACGGCCCAGGUCCCUUUCUUUGUCAUGAAGAACACAGAAAUGAGGGUUUAUAAACCUUGCUAGACACACUGAAUAGACCAGAAAACAAAGGAUGCGUGCUGCAUCUUGAAGAGAUCACUUGAAGAAAAUGCUGCCUCAAAAAAGUGUGGGUCCUUCACUGGCUCAUUGCAAAAAAGAUUGUGGAAAGAUAUACACCAAUGGUGGGUCUAUGGGCAACUCCAGUGUCCGAGGCACCCGGUCAAAAGCAGAGCUCCAAGAGCUUAUGGACAGCUUGCAGAGAAGGAAGGCAGCUGUGGAAGCCAGUAUACGGGCUAAUGCAGAGCGCCACCCCAAGCUCAGCCUGUCCUUUCCACCUAGUCCUCAUUCCAUCAAAUCACUCCUUCAAGAGCAUCCGUCCCUCUCAGUUCGAAUCCCUUCCUCCUACAGCCUCAGUAUGCCUCCUUCCCCUCGUCAUUCAGCCUGCCCGACAAGCCCAGUCCACACCCACACUCGUACCCACCACCAAUCGCAGGACAACCUUUCACUCUUUCAGUUGUUUGAUAGCCACCGUCCCAACACAGCUGGCUCCAGUCUCUCCAUGUGGAAUGGUACCUCCUACAUGUCGGAUGCUUUUAAUGUAUACCAUCGUGGCCCUAGUGGAGCUGCAAGCAUGCCCUCCAGUCCUAGGCUGGGCCGAAAACUUCUAGCACGAGACGGAGAUGCCAUUGAUGAUCCUCCCCCUCGCCAGAGGAAAUAUUCCACUGGUUCUUUGAAUGAUUUAGGAGGACACAGUCAUUCCCUUCCCAGGCUGUAUCGAGGGGAUGCUCCUUCUCUCUCUCUGCCCCCUUGGCGCUCAUCCAGGGCAAGAUGCAGCCUUCCAUCUCUUGACUGCCCUCCAGAUGUGACUGUUACUUCCCUGAGCAAUGAUCUCCGCUUUGAGAGGACGCUCUCAUUUGGGAAAGGAGUAGUAAGCCCAGGGAAGGGCCUGUGGAGGGGCAGCAUCAGUUCUCUAAGCAGCAAGAACGAGCUUCAAGAUUACCAUCAAAGACAGAGAGACGAGAGGUUACGAGAACAGGAAGUGGAGAGACUGGAGCGUCAGCGUCUGGAAACCAUAUUGAGCCUGUGCUCUGAACUUGGCAGCACUGAAUCAAGUUGUCCAGAACACAACUCUGGUGUCUGUGCUAUAUCUGACCUGCAGAAAAUCAAUCACGAGCUGGAGAAGCUGCAGGUUUCGGAUGAUGAGUCUGAGUUCUCUGACUUGCUUGUCGUAGCUGCUCCAGAGGAUGGCUCGGUGGAUAAGGGUAGAGGAGACAGACGGGUACAGCCCACCAACAUCCUGCUAACCUCUACAUCAGAAGACAUGCAGAUUAAACAGGAAGUGUCCCUUUUAGAGGAGGAGAGGAUUCAAGUCCUCAACAACAUUGAAGAGCUGGAGCAGAAGAUCAAGGAUUUAGACACACAGUUGAAUGAGUCUGUCGGAGAGAUGGAGGUAGAGAGGGCCCUGUUGGAAGGCGAGCAUAAUGAAGAGCUUACUCUCCUGCAAGCAGAUAGGGAGUCACUAAAAAAGCUAUAUGAACAGAUGAGCAAAAUGGAGAAAACCACAAAUACUGAUACAACUGACAAGGACAAGGUACUGUUGGAGACUGAGAAAGUUAAAGUAGAGAAGCUAGCAGAGCUGGUCUUGGAGCAGAAGAGUCAGCUGGACUCAUGUCCUGAAGCGCUGAAGGAACAGCUUCAGAGUCAGCUCUCCAGGGACACACUGAUGUUGGAGACAGAGAUGAAGCGUUUUGAGGAUCUUGAGUUUCAGCAGCUAGAAAAAGAGAGCAGUCAGGCUGAAGAGAAAGAGACACAGAUCCAGCAACUUCUCAGAGAAAUUGCUGAGUACCAGCACAGCUUAGUCACACGCAAGGAAAGACUCCUGACCUUGAAGAAACAGUCCACUCAGAUUACCCAGCAGGCUCAGCGGGAGAAGGAGAACUUCCUGAAAGAGAAAAGCAAUCUGCAGCUCAUGUUACAAAGGGAGCGAGAGAAUCUUUCCACUCUGGAGAGGAAGUAUGCAGAACUCACAGGUGGCCAGACCUUUCCUCUGAAUUCUGUGUCUAUGAAAGAGCAUCUUCGCUCCAUGGAGGUAAGAAGGAGGAGUAAUAGUAAUAAGGAAGGUGGGCCUAUGCUGAAUGACAGCAGUGUGUCCCAUAAAAGGCUGAGACACAGUUCUGGAAGCUUCUGUAGUUCCACAUUGGACCACAGUCUAUACCCUAAGUCCCAUCUUCCCCUGUCUCAGAGUACCAGCUGUGGUAACAUGCCCCCUCAUGCUCUCUCGCUCACCUCAAGAGACUUAGACACGCGCUGCCUGCUCAAGGUUGGUAACCCGUAUUUGAAUGACGGCAGGCAAAGGCUGAGUGAGAUAAGCAGCAGGACUGUAUCUGAGUCAAAUGUCUACUUGAAAACUUUUCACCACUUGGAAAAUGGUGCCAAGUUUGAUACCAUCAGUGUGGAGAGUUCAGAUAGCUUGGAGACAAGCAUCUCAGCCUGUUCUCCUGACAACAUCUCCAGUGCCAGCAUAUCUAAUGUGGUUAAGAUUGAGGAGAUGGGGCGUCUGCUCAGAGAGGCACAGGCAGAGAAGAACAGACUCCUGGAACACAGGGAGAGAGAAAUUGAGCAGCGCCGACAGGCUCUAGAGGAGGAGAGAAGGAGGCGAGAGGAGCUGGAAAGGCGACUUAAGGAGGAGACCAACAUAAGGCAGAAACUUAUCGAAAGGGAGGUAAAGCUCCGGGAGAAGCAAAGAACACAGUCUCGUCCAUUGACACGUUACCUUCCGGUUAGGAGGGAUGACUUUGACCUACGUAGUCACAUUGAGGCAGCAGGUCAUCAUCCUGAAACCUGCUUUCACCUCGUUAUCACUGACAAGACAUGCCGAGGCUUUCUAGUCAAGAUGGGGGGGAAAAUAAAGACCUGGAAAAAGCGCUGGUUUGUUUUUGACCGAAAUCGCAGGACCCUGGCAUACUAUGCAGAUAAGCAUGAGGCAAAAAAAAAGGGUGUCAUCUACUUCCAGGCUAUUGAGGAAGUGUAUUAUGAUCAUCUUAAGAAUGCACAUAAGACAGGCUGGUGGCUGGUGCACAAGAAGUUAAGAGCACUCCUCCUGCGACUGCUGCUGUGGUGCUGAAGAGACAGCUCCACUUCAGCACCACCAGUGUUUUGGACAGCCGGAGAGUGCGUGGCCACGGGGCAGAGCCACCGACACACACACGCCUGGCGGCUAAUUAACAGCACGGCAAUUCUCCACCAUCCAGCAGCCAACGGGAGAGUAUAAAAGGGCAAUCCUCCGCUCUCAAAGGGAGAGAGAGCCCCCUAGGGUUUCUAGCCAUGGUGGUUGUGUUGGAGUGGUGAUGGAGUACAAGAUCACUACAACAAAUGUGGCCACCUUCACUCUCUCCAAAGACUACUAAAAUUAACAGAGAAAUUACAAUGCUGUGAGUACAUCAGAACUUCAGAAUCCUUUCACGGUUCAACUGAAUUCAUCAUAAAACAGACAUAAUGAAGGCGCUAAGGCUGUUUUUGUGGAUAUAGAGUAUCCUGUAGUCAAGCAAGCUCAUUUAGGGUGAAAUGAGAAUCGUCAUCGUCAAAGAAAUAUUUACAAUAGGUGUGAAAUGGAUGUCAAUGGGUCAUCAUUGUCAGUGUCGCUGGGAGAAUCUGAUACCCAGUCAGGUUUAGGAUACAAGUCAGGUUUGUCAUCAUAGGGAUAGUAAUCAGUCUUUGUCAACAUCAGCGUUUGGUCAUUAGUGAUUUCAACGAGCGUGAGAGACUGCUCUGAACAAGAGAAACAAUACAAGUCAAAAUGAUCAAGACAAGAAUAAUUAUUGCACCUAUUGGUAGACAGACUGUUAAUAUCCACGAGCCCUAUCCCCCGAGUACUGAGUUCAGCCAAUCAAACCCCAUCUCACUAGUCUGUGGAGGGUUGCGUAUUGCAGACCACAUGUGUUCAAUGAUAGAAUAACCAUUAUGUGUCUGCAUGACAAGGGGACAUGUGACGUUGUGUGGGUAGCACUGUUGCCAAUGAUUCUUAUGACCAAAGGUGAUACAGAACGGUUUACAGAGGUGGCCACUAUCUUGGCAUAUGGGCUUUUAACUACUAAUUGUCGUCCAAUCUGCAGCAGUAGUCUACUAAAGAACUUCGCGGGCUUAUGUGGGACCUAUAGAAAUCACGUCGCCUUAGGCACUUAGUCUCAUCACCACGAUCAGCUAAAUACCAAAUUUUGGUAAAAGUGUGUGUGUCAUGCAUUCUUUCUGCUGCAACGAUGUGAUUGGCGUGACUGAUCAUUAAGUCUUCCACCGAAUAAACUACAAUAUCGCGCUUUGGUUUAUCUUUCCUGUUUAAGGGUCAACCCCCCGGACCCCCAGUGUUGUCAGGAAUGGUCCCAGUGAUUUGUGAGUUAAUUUCUAUGACAGGGCUUACUAACAGAUACCACCUAUACCAGGAGAAGGGUGGACGAUUAGGAAUAGGUUUGUAUGUAUGAGUGGAUGUGCAGGUCAACAUUUAAUGAUUUGUUUCUAGUCUGCAACAGUAGUCUGUGGUCAGGGAGCUUUGGGCGUAAGAGGUACGGUAGCAAAGUCACGUCGUCUAACCUCUGUCCUGGUCACAUGGCUAUAUACUGUACUAAGCACUAAUGAAGUUCUCUAAUGAAGUUAAUAAAGUCCUCCUAAGACUACGGUUUCCGUGUCGUCAACAUUUUCUCCAAAAACUACAUGUCCGUGAUUUCGCAGGCUUCUAGAUACCACUCGGUGUCUUGUGUUGUGUAACCACAAGGAACUGGUGUGAGAAUGUGUGUUUGAGUGCAGUGUGUCAUGUGUGUGGGUAUGUAUAUGCAAAUCGUUGCUCGUGAGCGUUGGUCCUCCUAGAGACUGCUUGAUAGAGAAUCACGUUCUAGUCUUCCUGUCGAAGUCCUGUCUUCUCCAGCUCAAUGCUUGGCUCUGGCACCCUCCUGUAGUGGCUUGCACGCAUCCAUGUGGCUCUCUGGUUGACUUUCACUGCUGAAUGAGUGACAAAGAGAACCUGGAAUGGCCCAGACCACCGUGGCUUUUUCCACCUGGUCCUGCGGAAGUCCUUGAUCACGAUCCACUCUCCGGGCUUCAGAUCAUGCAGCGGACCUGUGGCUGGAGCUGGAAGUGUUGCCUUUACCUGCUUAUGGAUAGAGUGCAGAGCAGAGGACAGGGUUGCACAGUAAUUUAAAAUUGCAUCAUCACAUGCUGCAGCGUCAGGAAAAGGAGCUGUCACAGGUCCAAUUCCUGUGUGUGGAGGUCUCCCAAACAGUAUCCCAAAGGGGCUAAGACCAUCCUAAGCUUGUUUCAGAAUAGCAUUUGCUCAGUCUGUUUUUUAGUGUCCUAUUUUCUUUCUCUACCACCCCACCACUAGCUAGAUGAUAUGCAGCAUGAUAUGCUGCUUUAAAUCAAUAGCCAAAUAUUCACCCACCUACUUAAGGGCAUGGCUCACAAAAGUUUUGCCAUUAUCACUGGAGAGUAUCAUUAUCACUACCGCGUCUGAGUCCUGUUUGAACAUAGGGAUGUGGCCUUCUCUACCUUCAAACCUCAACCCAUGUUAUGAGUUGCGCAAACAACAUAAACAAUUUUUUUUUUAGAGUAAUUAGAGAAACCAAUGCUUUAUCACAACUAUCAUUCCCCCUUUUGACGCAUGGUCCUGCCAUGCGUCAACUUUGAAGACAAGGACAGCCCUGGGGGCACUGCCAAACUCCGUCAACAACCGUGCAGCCUGGUUUGCGCCACACAGCCUUUUCCUCAUCUGCGUAGCCCAUGCUUGGAGGUCUGAAAGCUGUAAAGAAGGAUUGAUUAUUUUCUUUUGAGUUUUGGGUCCAUAGAUGCAGCUGCUUGCUUUGCUGCACUGUCCGCUCGAGUGUUUCCUAGGAAAACAUGGUCUAAUUUGUUAGUGUGUGCAUCACAUUUGCAUACUGCAAUAGUUUUGGGGAGUAGGACUGCGUCCAGCAGCUCAGAGACUAGUUUGUGGUGGGAAAUGUGUGUUCCUGUGUCACAUUUCAAGACGUAAGGAAGAUAGGACAGAUGAAAGUGCAGUAGACAGUUUUAUUAAAGAGAGACACAGGCAGAUAAAUCCAAAAUUGUAAUCCAAAAACAUAAUCCAAAAACAUGCAAAAGGUCAGACGAUCGGCAAACAGGCAUAAACGGGGCAAGGCAGGAAUCAAGGUCUCGGUCACGGAAAACAGGGUUGAUAUACAAAACAAGAAAAACAUGAACAAUAGCGCAGGACUGGGAGCGGAGAAACCAGCAUGGAUUAAAUCUAAUGUUUAAUCUAAAUAACUCUAACAAGGAAUCUGACUAUGACUAUGACUAUGGUUAAGUAUGGUAAGGAAUCUAAACUAAUCUACUAUACCAUAAUAUUCCACGCCAUGUGCUGGGAGACGCGCGGUAUAUAUACAAGCACAAUCAGCGUGUUGACUGCUAACGGCUGACAGCAAUCUAGACACAUGCUAAACAACAGCCAACGACAGAACUGGGAGGAGAUAUAACAGAAACACAGUACACAAUGUCACGGUUGUCAACAAACGAGAAGCAGGUGCUCGUGCACCUUGCUCGGGCACGCGCACCCACAUGCUCUCCUGCACGCUGCUUAAAGGAGAAACCAUGACAUCCUGAACUCGUCAGGAAGUUCCUGUGUUUCCAAAUUGUCCCCAAAUCAUGUAGUACCUCAAAGGCAUAUCUACUGUCUGUGUAGGUAUUUACUGACUGUCCCUCAGCAUGUCUUCAUGCCUCUAUGAGGGCAUACAGUUCAGCUGCUUGUGUUGAAAGGUUUGAGGGGAGACUUCCUGACAGACCAUCUCAUGUGCGGUCACUACUGCAUAGCCCACUCGAUUUUUACCGGUAUCUGGGUCAUGUGACGCUGACCCGUCCACAAAUAGGAUCAGAUCUGAGUUUUCCAAUAGAACAUCUUUCAGGUUGACUCUAGGAGAGCAGAGUUUGUUAGUCAGUACAACACAAUCAUGUGGUUCCCCAUCUCCCUCUGUUGGAAGAAGAGUAGCAGGGUUAAGGACAGUACAUCGUUUUAUAGAGACAUUCGGCAUGUCUAGCAGUAUAGUGUUAUGGUGCAGCCACCAUUGGGUGGAAAGGUGUGAGGUUUUCUGUUCAAGUAGGAGUAACAACACCUCAUGUGGAACCAAGAGGUUCAAUUCUGAGUAACCUACCAGGUUUCUGGAUGACACCAAAGCUUUCUCAGCUGCUGCUACUGCACGUACACACGGGGGAAACUCUGCAGUGACUGGAUCCAACUUACCUGAGAAUGAGCUGUCCAGCCUGUUGCAUAUGCCAUCUCUCUGAGUGAUGCUUGUAGACUGGAAUAGUUUAUAAUGAAAGUCCUGCGAUACAAAAACAUACCUAGGAAAGAGAGAACUUGUUUCUUCGUCAGAGGCUUGGGAAUCUUCUGGAUUGCAGAUACUUUGUCAGCUGUGAGUUUCUUUCCCUUUGCAGAUAUGUCAUGACCCAAUAAAUCUCACUUUUUUUGUACAUACUGUAAUUUGGAGAUAUUGGCUUUGUGGCCUUCUUAGGCAAAAUGCUGCAACAAUUUAAUGGUGUCAGUUUCACACUGUGCCCUGGAGAAAGUGGUAGAGGUGUUAAGCUGUCCUUUAGCAUUUGGUUGUAUAUCGUUAGUGACUCUCAAUACCCUUAACACAAGCAAUUGAAAGUGUAAGGACCUCCGUGAAAUACAAAUGCAAACUGAAACUGAUUGUCUUUAUCAAGAGAUAUACUGAAAAAACACAUUAACUAAAUCUACAACUGAAAACCAUUCGCUAUUUGCUGGAACCUGGCUUAAUAUAGUGUAAGAAUUUGGCACAUCUGGAGCUCUCUGUUUGAUUGCUGCAUUAACUGCUUGCAAAUCUUGUACAAAUCUCCAUUCAUCAGGUUGUGGGGGUUUUCUUGCUUUCUUUACCGGAAAUAUUGCGCACUGACAAAUCAGGGCAGGGAACAAUGAUGUUGGCUCAAAUUUAGCCUAUUACCCAAAAACACUUAAAAUUCAACAUAUAAGCCAAUACUCACAUCUACCUCUGAGCCCAGUUGGAGAUAGAAAAAAAUACACCAGCCAUGAGUGAGAAGAAGCAAGGGUCCAGCUUUAUUGUUCCAUUCCACCACACGAGAUCCACACCGAUGAGAAUUCUCAGAAGUGAUUCCCAUACCCUGAGCUUAAGCUCCAGUAUUUAUACUGUACUUACACAGUAAAUAACCCAUAUGUUUCAAGAAGACUAUGAUCUCACUACUAAUAGGGUUAAAAAAGAGCUCAUCUACCUUACUCUUAUGUUCCAGAAAAGGGCUAUUACACAUAGAAUCAAAACCAGGGGUUUCAAUUUACACAUAAAAUCAGAACCCAGGGAUUUCUAAUAACCCAGAAAGUCAAAACCAGAGAGUUUCAGUUAUCCAGAGAACAAAAACCAGAGAUUUUCAGUUACCCAGAGAAUCAAAACCAGAGAAUUUCAGUUACCCAGAGAACCGAAACCAGAGAAUUUGAAUUACCCGUAAAAUAGAAAGUGGACAAGACUAAACAAUCUAGAGUGACCUUGGUCUUAUUGUUAUCUCGCGGGCGGGCAGCUUGACUCAGCCACCCUUAUAAAUGGCUCCUCAUGGUUCUUUCUUAAAAUUAAGGCCUUCCUUGCAAGACAAGAACCUUCACCAUUUGAGUCAUGAGUAAGUUUACAUUUUCCUGUAUUUCUAGUUUAUAAUUUAUUUUCAUAUUUGCUCUAUAUUUCUUAUUUUAUAUAUAUAUUUAUACUACUUGAAAAGCGGUUUACUGUACUUCCAACUUCUUAAUAUCAUUACAGUUCUACUGUCCUGCAUAUCCUACUAUUCUGUUUUUUAUAAAGAGUAUAUAUAUUAUUAUUAUAAGAUAUUACCCUUUAAAUAUCUUAAUAUUCCUUUUUAUUAUUCUUAUAAAGUUAUUGUAGUAUGUGUGUGAGAGGGAGAGUGUGUGUGUGUGUGUGUGUGUGUGUGU